rnacentral:pre_miRNA from 1 species
GACAUCAGUUUGCAGUAUCUUUACCAAGGUCUGGUACUGCCCAAGACGGUUUUAGAUGUUGCCUCCUGAUCGU